GGGCAGGGGAAUGUACCGAAAGGAGCCUGCUCUUCCGCGCCACACUUCAAUGGCACUGAUAGAACACCACAACUUGUUUGCACAAAAAAUAACUCAGCCGUGACAUGUCUGUUUCCAAGAGCCACACAUGUUAGAGAAACUUGUGGAAGAAGAGUGUGAGUCGUGUGCUCUGUCUCAUGCAUGUGGGCUCAUUCUCUCCAAGCUGCUUUUCACUUAUGGCCUCUUUCUUUUGCAGAAAUGUGAGUUCCUCCUCUUGAAAGUCUAUUGCUGUUCUGAGAGCUCCUUUUUUGCCAAGAUUCCAUACUAUUAUUAUGUAAGUAACAACAGCAACCCAUGAUUACAGGCUGCCAUGACAUUACCUGACCCUGAAAUGGGCCCUCGUGAGAUUUGUGAUCUUAAUCCCACGGGGCAAGAGCACACGCUGUCGUUAGUUGCCUUCACCUUGUUGUAUUUCUGCUGGAUUUUAUGGGAAUCCACAGAAGGUAGACAUUGAACUAUGCUGGUAGCUUUUCCAUUGAUAUUUUUGUCACCAGAUUAGAGAGGCGUGUCAAGGCCUGAAGGAGCCCAUGUGGUUGGAUAAAAUCAAGAAAAGGCUGAAUGAGCACGGUUACCCCCAAGUGGAGGGGUUUGUACAAGACAUGCGCCUCAUCUUCCAGAACCACAGGGCCUCUUACAAGUACAAGGAUUUUGGCCAAAUGGGACUUAGACUGGAGGCUGAAUUUGAGAAGGAUUUCAAGGAAGUGUUUGCUAUUCAGGAAACAAAUGGGA
rnacentral:sRNA from 1 species